GUUUCAGGGCGGGGUGAAAGUCCCCACUGGCGGUACAGUCCGCGAACCGGCGCAAGUCGGCCGAAUGGGUGCGAUUCCCAUACCAACGGUAUAGUCCGGAUGAAAGAAA
rnacentral:ncRNA from 1 species